rnacentral:rRNA from 1 species
GUAGGUGGCAAGCGUUGUCCGGAAUUAUUGGGCGUAAAGCGCGCGCAGGCGGUUCUUUAAGUCUGAUGUGAAAGCCCACGGCUCAACCGUGGAGGGUCAUUGGAAACUGGAGAACUUGAGUACAGAAGAGGAAAGCGGAAUCCACGUGUAGCGGUGAAAUGCGUAGAGAUGUGGAGGAACACCAGUGGCGAAGGCGGCUUUCUGGUCUGUAACUGACGCUGAGGCGCGAAAGCGUGGGGAGCAAACAGGGAUUAGAUACCCUGGUAGUCCACGCCGUAAACGAUGAGUGCUAAGUGUUAGGGGGGUUUCCGCCCCCUUAGUGCUGCAGCUAACGCAUUAAGCACUCCGCCUGGGGAUACGGCCGCAAGGCUG